UGAAGACUUCCGUUCCUAAAAAGGAAGUUGGUGUGCUCUUACGUAGACGCACUUGACAAGAAAAUGUAUGUCGUUUGAAAAGAAGUGUGUAUAGAUAAGAGAUUCUAAAGCAUGUUAAAUUCUUAGCUCCUGGUCGAAAGGGCACAAAGCAUCUGUGAGGCACUUCUAAACGUAUGCCACUGUGGAGACGGGCUUUGAAAAGCAAUCAGAGUGGGAAUCGUCUCGCUGGAAGCCAGAAGACAUCAAAGGGAAGACCUGGGAAGACCCGCUUGAGUCGAGGCAGGAAGCGGGGUCGUGGGAAGUGAUUGCGGCGGCUGGUUCUGUCAGUGUCUACAGAGCUGGAGCGGCGGGCGGCGAUGAUGCUAGAGCUGACUCCAGGACAGGGGGCACCGUUCCACCCAGCUACAACGCCAACCUGUCCACCAGGUGAGGACGCUAAUCAAGAAACAGAAAGCAGGUGCGGCUAAUCAGCCACCUAGCAACAAAAAACGUAACCAAGGGAGCAAAGGAGCAUUGGAAGACAUAACAGGCCACUAAACUCAGGAGAAUAACACUCAGACUCUAACCUGGUGUGACAAAUCACAACAAAUAGCACCUAAUAGAUAUAAGAGAUACAACAAAUGUUAGAAUUGUGCAAGAUGGCACCUGAUGGCCAUAAGACAACUGUACUUUUUGUUCAGAGAUAAAAAUUGUGUUCAUAUAAGAUCUAGUCUUACACACAGGGCUGCACGAUUAUGGCCAAAAUAAUAAUUACAAUUAUUAAUCACGAUAAUUCAUUAUGUUAGGUAAAACACUGUUGGGAUGCGGUGUGAAAAGGUUAGAGAUAAACGUUAUUCAUAUAUUUAAAGACAAAUAUUUGGGUUUUUGUUCAUUAAUAAUAUCAACGUGUCAGCUUUUUCUCCUUACAUGAUGCCUUUAUCUCUAUUUUUACAUUUUGAUAGAAGUAUUUGUUUAAGUUGUGUACAUUUACAUGUACAAAUGUAUGUACAUGCACAUGCUGUAUCUGGACAGAGCCAUUAAGAGUUUGAGCAGAAAUAUAUCGUACAGGAAUUAA